AAAGCCGAGGCAUGCGUUCUUUUCCUUGCUGCUUCCGAGGAGGUUCAUGUGUACAAGCAUGGAUGAAGUGAGCUGUUGCAAAACUAUCCAGGCAGCAGGAGAUGGAGUAACUUGAAAAACUGAGGGAAUUGCUGUCUGCACACCAGGAGGCUCCCAAAAGAGCCCAUGAUUUGAGUUCAGCAAAGAUGUCGGAUCCUUGAGAAGGACUGGAGAAAAGAUGGAAGGCUUGAGGUAAACUUUGGAAGAACUGAGCCACAUAGAUUGGGCAUAGUUAAGAGAAUGCGGCACGAUUUCGUUCAGAUAGAUGUUCUGUGAAAGAAUGACGGGACCUGGCCAUUCCUUAAAGUUCUCCUCUGCCAAGUUUGUUUGGGAGUCUUCAGGGGCUUACCAGAUUCAAGAAUUCUAUUUGUUGCCUGGCUUGACACUCAAGACAUUCACAAGAACAGCCAAGACCUUGAAGACACUUGAAUUCAUUAAUAUUGAUGCACAAUAAAUAAUGAUUUGAACCACA